UACGAAGGGGGCUAGCGUUGCUCGGAAUCACUGGGCGUAAAGGGUGCGUAGGCGGCCCAGUAAGUCCGCUCUGAAAGUCAGAGGCUCAACCUCUGAAUGCGGGUGGAUACUGCUGGGCUAGAGUCCGGAAGAGGCGAGUGGAAUUCCUGGUGUAGCGGUGAAAUGCGCAGAUAUCAGGAGGAACACCGAUGGCGAAGGCAGCUCGCUGGGACGGUACUGACGCUGAGGCGCGAAAGCGUGGGGAGCAAACAGG
rnacentral:rRNA from 1 species